AAGGUAGUGGGCCUCUCUGGAGCAGGGCUGCCCAACUUACCCGCACCAAAUGCAUGGCUCAGUGAUUACCCUGCACCAGCUAUCCGCACCGGGGACCCCAGUCUGAAAUCCUGGCAUUUAUUAAAGGUGCAGCUGGUAUCCCAUGGGUUCGAAUGGGCUAGAGGGAAAAGAGCAGAGGCAAGGAGAGAAGAAAGGGCGGCUCUUGGUGGUAGUGAAUAGGCUGCAGAGAAAAAAGGUCUGAUGGGAUAGAGAAAUUGGGGAAGGUGUAUAGGAGAGAGGCAGAAAGGAGGGAUGAACUUGAAGUAGAUCAUUCCACCUGGAGGUCUAGGAUGCGGAACUGUUUGUGGGCUUUUGCUCUCUAAGCUGCGUAGCCCCAACCCUUACCUUCCCCACCUCUUGCAUCUCCAGGGGAAGGCCAGACCAGGCCACCAUAAUCCAAACUGGACAGUGGACAGGUGGUGUGGGUCAGCCGGGCCAGGGCUUAUCUAAGAUUGGGAAGGUCAGCGAUAUUGAAAUUCCCUACAGCUUCUAGCCCCAUCCUGUUUUACUUGCUUAUGGACAUUGCUUAAGCCCAGGGGGUUUGUGAUGCUAUUUAGAACUUAGGUGAGUAUGUUUCACAUACCUUCAGCGCUAUCUCACCUGCACCUUUCCACAACCCAGUGAGGAGGUUGGGUAAAGGUAAUUCCUAAGUAAAGGACCUUCUGGAUCCUGGCUGGGAUCUUUCCACUCUAUGUUGCUGGACUUGGGCUGGUCUGUUUCUAAUUGCAUAGGUAGAUUGUAGAAGGUUCCUGCCCUGUCCAGGCCCUCACCAAAAGCUUUCCAGAAGGAAAAGUCAAAUACAAUGGAUUUGGCCUGAUUAUUCCGUAUUGUUAAACAUAUUUUCUUAUGUGAAUGCUCAGUCUGGCAAUUGCCUUGACCUUUCUGGUUUAAUUACCAUAUCACAUCGAUUUAUUUCAUCCUUGUUCUGGAUGUUCUCAGUGCUUACCUGACCUUAACACUGAGUUCCCUCCAAAAAUCAGUGCUUACAUCUCUCCUAGCAGAGGACUAGGAUGCCCUACCCUUCCCUGACCUUUUCUCUGUCUCAUAAAAAUGUAAUAGUCUCUUCAUUUCUGGUCCUGCUCCAGCGCUUUCUGUAUAACUUUCAUGGACUAUAAACCUGGCAUCUUGGAUGUUAGUUGCUUUGUUACUCUCAUAAGCUAAGGUGAGAGCCAACCUGGGCUGCAAGCAGAUCUAGAAUUGAAGAAAGAUGCCAUUACUGGGCUCAUUCACUGAGUGUUGUCACUUGACUGAGCCACCUCUCCUCAUCUAUAAGGUACACCUGUACCUGUUUCAACGAAUCUGAUUUGUGGCAAAGCACCCCAGCAACUAUAACCACCAGAUGAAUGCAAUGGGGUGUUUUCAGGCAAACGAGAAUAAGAACAAGGAUUAUGAAACAGCUAGAAUGGAAAGUAUGCAAAGAGGAAUUUGGAAGAAAAAAUUUAAAUCUAUGCUAGCUUUAUUUGGUGUAGCAACACGUAAAAACAAUCCCUGUCCCCAGAGCUGCCUGUCUUCUAAAAUAAGACUUUUGGGGCAUGAAAUACACAAACUGGGGAUACAGAAUUGAAUGAUGGUGAUGGUGGAGUGAGCAGCUGGGUUCUCUUUGUUUUGUUUUGUUUUGUUUAAACUGUCCAGGACCAGGUUGGAAAAAGGCCUUGAGCAGCAUAGGGUGGGUGGGGCAUGUGGAAAGAGGACCUAAAGAGAGAGGCAGAAACAGGCUACUGAAAUCCAGAGAUACCUUGUCUAGGCUGUUGAGCAAGUGACUUUACCCCUUUGGGUGAUGGUUUGUUCCCCAGAGCAAGCGGAGUGACAGUUUAUGGACCAGGCACAGUCUGGGGAGAGACUGAUCAGAAGACAGUUUGGAUUCCCUGGAACAUUCCCAGGCAAUGUUCUGAGCCCAUCACAGUGCAGUCAUUCCUAACACCAGCCUGGAAACAGGUCGGAAGUCAAGAAAGUCAUUCUCGGGACAGUCUCGGAAGAUCAGGGGGACAAUCCGGGGCCUCAAUAGGGCAUUUUCUUUUUUCUGAAGAGGAAAAUAUCCAGGUAGUCAGGAUCCAUCUCCCUAGAAGGAUGGGGCAACUGUUACGUGGUCCUUCCACAGAAGUUAAACCCUGGCCUUGCCUAUAAUAAUACAAGUUGCUUGAUUUUUGCAGCUUACAAAGCACAUUCAUAUGUUUCACCUCAUUUCAUUCUCAGAUCAGCCCCGUAGGCACCUCUCAUUGCUCUGAGGUAUCAAACCUGGCUCAAGUGGCCGUGCUCAGACUUCAAAUCAGGAUCUGACCUCAAGUCUUCCCAGCUCACCUUCCUUCUCUUCCUGUUUCUACCUCUGAUCUCUUCCCUUUGUUGCUGCGGUGCUUCUCUUGUCUUUUCCUUGCUGUGGGCAAAAGGAACCCUCACCCACGCCCUAAGAGUGUGUCUGCUCUUUUCACAGCAGUCCCACCACUGCAGAACUGUUCAUCUUCAGCAACAAUUCAUCAAACAUUAAUUGAGUGUCUCCAUAGCUCUGAGCUGGGCCCAGACACAAAGAUGAAUUAUCCACAGACAGAGACCUGAAGCUGCGGGAUGUGCUCCCCUUGCUCUCUGUCAAGCUGGGGCUUGGAUCUGGACCCUCUGCCUCCAGACAUCAGCCCCCUAUCCCUAACCCUUGUUUCAGCAGCUGCUCCUGCCUGGUCUGCACUGGUGACCUCUUAGAAUCAAGGGAAGGUGAGAAGAGACCAGAGGUUUGUUCCACCUUUCAACCUGCUCUUAUGUUGUUCUUGUGAAAAGGCAACAGAUCUAAAGUGGAACUCUGGCCUCCUUUGGACAAGGCAGGAGGGUUGUAGUAUUUAGAGGCAGGGGACCUGGGUUCCAGUCCCAGCUUUAUGAAUUCCCGGGCCUGGAGGGCAGCUCCAUCUCCGCAGCUGAGAUCUGGGUGGGAGCCAUCCAGUUCCUGUGGUUGCAGCCUCAAUAUCCCCAGGAAGCAGUUCUGAGAUGGAAGUGGUGAAUGGCACCAAUUUCUUCAUGUCCAGGUUGCCUUUGCAGGGGCCUAUCUCCUAUGUAGCCCUGCCUUUCUGCCCUCAGGGUAGUGCAUGGACCCUGUGUUAUGGGGGAGGCUCUCACUGCAGGGCUCUUUGGCCACAGAGCACGGCCCUACCAGCCUCUUCUUUCUUUGGAGGGGACAUGGCAUAGGGGCUUCGUGCCCUGCCUGCAUCUCUCUGCUGCAGAAAGGAAGUCAACGUCCCUGUCUUGCUCUUCAGUUCCACUGGAGAAUGCAAGGGUCCCUCCUGUGCAUCUCCACACUCUUAGAUCACUUGUUCCGUAAAGUUCUGGUCUGCAGGGCUGCCACCUACUGCACUGUAUGCCCUGAGCUUGCCCGUCCUGCACUUUCCAAGUCCUGGGCCAAGUGCCCAGUUGUGCAGCAUUCGAUCAGAGAUUAGCCUUGCUCAGCAGAGGACAUGGGCACAGCCAUAAACAAAUCCUGGCACCAGGUGCUCAGUGGAUGGCGAGCAACUGUGAGUUGUACCCAGAGUUGGGCAGGGGCAGGGAAAAUAUCCCUGUGGAGAAGUUGACUGGCAUCAGAGCUGGGUGACGGCAGAAGCAGGAACUGGCAAAGAGCGAAGUGUGACAUGCACUUCGGAAUCUGGGUGUUCUGACUUCCCCACCUCACACACCUGCCCUGCCGGGUGUGUGCAGCUCUGCUUUCUUCACUUGUUUGCCAAUCCUUUCUCUUCCCCAUGUUCCAGGUCCUCUUUCUGGAAAGUCUCUGGCUUCUCUCCUGUUACACAAGGAUAGAGCGCGGUUCCAAUUCUUGGUCCAAAGACAAUGUUUGGGUUGGCCCUCCCUUGCCUUGAAUCCUGGUCUGCCUUAUACCUGCCAGACAUUCCUGUAACCCAGCAGGUGCUGGGAACCUUCUGCCAGCGUGUGAGACACAUUUAUGCAAUGGGAAGUGAGAGACAAAAAAUAAUCGACUCUCAGGGAGCAGGAUGCUCAUGUCGAAGGAAGCCUUUGUCUGAACAGCAGAUAACACUCAAGGACCUGCCUCACGAAGUUUGGUAAAGAUUCGUGGCUGAUGUAUGCAAGCCACUCCCGGGGCUCCGUGUCUCGCCUGCGUCACCUCAGCAGGUGGCAGCUGUAGCAACCACCAGCGUGGGGAUGCCGGAGAAGGCUUUUGGUGUUCCAGAGGCAGAAGCCAAGUUGUGUGAAACGCGGAAGAGGACAAGUGUCUGAUCAUGACUGCACAGUGGAAAAGUAUGAUAUCAGAGUGUGUUCAGCUGUGGGGUCCUGGGUCCAUUCAUUCCCUCGUGAGCCAUCUUAUGAGGCCCCGUUCCAGGCAAUGGGAUUAUUGCAGCAAACAAGACAGGUGCAGGCCUUCCCAACUGGGGCUUAUGCUCCAGUGGGGGACACAGGCCAUAAACAAGUGAGCACGUCACACGGUCUGAUGAUGACCCUUGAUGACUGCUAUGAAGAUCUAAUAGGACAUUGACCCAGGGAAGGCCCAGGGCUGGGAGAGCUCUUUUGGAUGUGAUGUUGGGAAAAGCCUCUUGGAGGUGAUAUUGAGGCUGAGUCCCGAGUGGAGGUGGCCCUGGUGUGGAAAGGAGCGUGGUAUGUUCAAGGGUGGUCCACACCAGGCCUGCUCGAAAAGCUGCCACACUGACCAUGGGCAAGGAGCUGAUCCAACAGACUGCUCGAUUUUCUGAAAUGGCAGGAAGCGUGUGGCACGUGAGAAAGGAGUCCUUAAAGGCAGCUGGACCUGGAUUUGAUCCUGGCUCUGCCACUUGGAGCCCAGGACUUUUCUUCCUGCAUCUUCAUCUCAAAAGUUGGGGCUUGAGGCCUAAGGGAGUAACAUGAACAACACUCCUGGCUCCCUGCCUGGCACACGCCUAUUACCCCUGGGCUCAGGGAGGUGAGGCUGCCCGUGAGCCUUCUGGAAAUGCCUGAGGAGCAACCCAGGUCAAGGCAGGGCUCUGUCAUCUGUCUGCUCCCUUGGAGCUGGAACCUGGACUGCAGGUCUCGGGUGUUGGGGAGGCAGCAGGAGCAGAGAUGAGUCCAUUUGUAAGCCACUGAAUCUUGCCUUUCAAUGAAACAAGAGGAAUCCAUUAGUUAUCAGCCGCUGCAGCUGCUUCUUAGGAAACUGCCUUACCAGGGACUUCCUGUUCAUUUCUCAAAGGCUGUGGUGUGAUGUGAGGAGGACCAAUGAAGGGGCUUUUUCAGGCCCAGCCCUGGGCCCUGACUUUGGCAGCUCCUCCAGGCCUCUCCCAGGGCCUUUCUUAUUUUGCAGAGGUGGCUGAGGCUGUGGUGGGGACUGCUCACCCCACCCAGAGCCGGCAAAACUGGUCACCACUGCAACCCCGGGCUCCUCCCUCCUCGCCACCCAGGGCCUCCUCCCUCCUCGCCCCCCAGGGCCUCCUCCCUGCCUGUCCCCCUGGGCCUCUUCCCUGCAUCCCCAGGGCCCUGGAACAGCACAUCUCUUUUCCGUGAAAAUACACUUGACCUGAUCCCCUGCUACUAUCCCUUGUCUGCUUGGCUAGUGGGUCGUAGGCAUUUUUU